GUGUGCUAUUGCACACCUUUUAUGAGUGUAACUCGGACCGCCGAUCUAUCUCGACAAAUGUAAUUGGUGAGAAACUGGGUCCGGUAGGAAACGGCUAUAAAAGGAUAUGGCUCGUUGCAUACAAUCAUCGUCAAGAAAGGAAUUAUAGAAUAGAACCAAUCUUAAGUUCUCAUAACCCUUUGUAGUCAACAAUCAAUGGCUAGCAACAACAAAGCUCUGAUCAGUGUACUUUUCUUUCUCUUCUUACUCUCAACUCAAUCCAUUGUACCUGCAACAGCGAGAAAGAUCCUAGGAACAAAUGAAUUUGGGAGUAAUGACAACGUACAAGCGUCAAGGAAAUUAGAAGGCCAAAUUGAUCCCCCAUGGAAUCCUGUAGGCCCGUAUCCAUCAGAUGGUCCUCGAUUUGAGACGGUGAAACCAAUUCCUUGAAGUUGAUUGACAUCUCCUAAAGCUGAUGGACUCUGAUACCUGAACAAAUUACAUUUCAUAUUACGUGGAAAAGAUCUUUUAUUCUGUUUACCAGCAAAAGAGAGGUGCUAUGUAUUGAAUGCUUACGAAAUAAAAUGAAUAUUUCAAGGUA